AUGAGCGAGUUCAGUAGCAUGCAAUUGGAGUAUUUUCAAACUCUAGAUACUGUGAUAGAUCCAAGCUUUUCUGGGCUUGUUACUGAAUCUGACCGUAGGUGCAUCCUGCACAGGCAGAGGGCAGGCAAAUUUGUGUCAUUUGAAGGCACUGACACUGGCAGGAGAUUCAUAGGAUGUGCAACUGAGGAUGGUGUGAACUGUGGUGUUUUAGAGUGGGUAGAUGCCCCUUGGCCAGUAAUUUUGCAAAGGUGCUUAACCAAGCUCUGGGAUAUGUAUCAUGAGGAGAACCUUGGUAGAGUCCAAGACAAAGAGGCUCAUGAGAUAGAGGUUGAGAAACUAAAGAAGGGGCUGGAUUCUCUUGGCAAUCAGUACAGUCAUCUUGUGGAUGAUGUAUCCAAGCUGUCUGAUUACCAGGAUGGGCAGAAAUCCCAUGACAUGGAUUACACAAGCUAG
rnacentral:rRNA from 1 species